AGGAGCAGGAGCAGGAGCAGGAGGGCCGUGGCGGCCAUCCACCCGCCGUGACUGAGGCUGGGCGACGUGCCGGCCAUCGGGCACCUCUCCGGUGCCCUUAAGACCGACGCCGCGACCUUCCCUCCCGAACCCUAGCCGCUUCCCCCUCUCUCGCGUUGCUCGCUCCCCCGCACACACACCAGUACGGUCGUCGCAGCGUCGUCGCCGCUGCCGUGGCCUUUGACCUCCCCUCGCCACUCCGUCCUGUCCAGGAGCUCCGUCUGCCUCGUCUACCUCCUCUAAGGGCACCAGUUUGAGUCCCCUCGCGCUACAUCGACCGGAUCGAGUCAUCUUCCUCCUACGGUUGCCGUGGAGCUUCGGUCGAUCUGCACCAUCCCGGCAACCCCGGCCUCCCCGACCAUGUCCACGAGCUUCGCGAUGCUGGAGCCUAGGAUCUGGACGAUACCACUGACGAUUACUACCACCCCGAGGGUGCCUACUACUACGUGGAGGCCGCCGACGAACAUGAGUAGUUAGGAGGCUCCCAGGCAGGAGGCCUUGCCUUUUCGACCGUUGUUGCUUUUGUGCUAGCCUUCUAAAGGCAAACUUGUAUAACUCAUGUCUGUAUUCAGAUAUUGUUGCUUCCGCUGACUCUUGUGUUUUCGAGCUUAUGUAUUCGAGCCCUUGAGGCCCCUGGCUUGUAA